AUUGUCGCCUAUGGGAAAACAAUUAGUGGACUGUACCCAUAUUGGGAAGCCUAUAAGGUCAUGGUCAUUGGUACAGGAAAACCAUGAGGUUCAUGCAGGUGGUGUUUAAAACUAUUGGCCAGCAAACACACACCCAUUUGAAAACAUCUUGAAAUUUCACGGUCACCAGCAAAAAGUGGCAGUUGGCAAAAUGUAGGUUGCCGCAGACAGACGCAUUUUGCCGGAAAACGAAUCUGACAUGCCACCUCGAGAUUUUGACCAAGGAAAGACAAGUUGAUGCGCUUUGAUUUGAGGGGUCACUCACUGCUGAACGAAAAUUAGGGACAUCGCUAUGAGAAGAAACGUUAACAUUGUCGCC